rnacentral:rRNA from 1 species
GAUGAACGCUGGCGGCGUGCUUAACACAUGCAAGUCGAACGGUGAACGAGGGAGCUUGCUCCCUCCGGAUCAGUGGCGAACGGGUGAGUAACACGUGAGCAAUCUGCCCUGGACUCUGGGAUAAGCGUUGGAAACGACGUCUAAUACCGGAUACGAGGCGUGGGGGCAUCCCCAACGCCUGGAAAGAACUUCGGUCCAGGAUGAGCUCGCGGCCUAUCAGCUAGUUGGUGAGGUAACGGCUCACCAAGGCGACGACGGGUAGCCGGCCUGAGAGGGUGACCGGCCACACUGGGACUGAGACACGGCCCAGACUCCUACGGGAGGCAGCAGUGGGGAAUAUUGCACAAUGGGCGCAAGCCUGAUGCAGCAACGCCGCGUGAGGGACGACGGCCUUCGGGUUGUAAACCUCUUUCAGUAGGGAAGAAGCGCAAGUGACGGUACCUACAGAAGAAGCACCGGCUAACUACGUGCCAGCCGCUGCAGUAAAAC